UACAGAGGUCUCAAGCGUUGUUCGGAUUCAUUGGGCGUAAAGGGUGCGUAGGUGGCGCCGUAAGUCAGGUGUGAAAUCUCGGGGCUUAACUCCGAAACUGCAUUUGAUACUGCCGUGCUUGAGGACUGGAGAGGAGACUGGAAUUUACGGUGUAGCGGUGAAAUGCGUAGAUAUCGUAAGGAAGACCAGUGGCGAAGGCGGGUCUCUGGACAGUUCCUGACGCUGAGGCACGGAAGGCCCAGGGGAGCGAAACGGG
rnacentral:rRNA from 1 species